rnacentral:rRNA from 1 species
AUACAGAGGGUGCGAGCGUUAAUCGGAAUUACUGGGCGUAAAGCGCGCGUAGGUGGUUAUGUAAGUUGGAUGUGAAAGCCCCGGGCUUAACCUGGGAAUUGCAUUCAAAACUGCAUGGCUAGAGUCUGAUAGAGGGAAGUGGAAUUUCCGGUGUAGCGGUGAAAUGCGUAGAUAUCGGAAGGAACACCAGUGGCGAAGGCGGCUUCCUGGAUCAAGACUGACGCUGAGGUGCGAAAGCGUGGGGAGCAAACAGGAUUAGAUACCCGUGUAGUCC